rnacentral:lncRNA from 1 species
UGUGAGGGUGAGUGUGGGUGUGUGAGUGCAGGGGUGUGAAGUGUGAGGGUGUGAGGGUGUAUGUGAGGGUGUGUGAGGGUGAGCAUGUGAGGGUGUGUGUGUGUGAGGUGAGUGUGUGAGGGUGAGUGUGUGAGGGUGAGCAUGUGUGGGAGUGGGAGUGAAGGUGAGUGGGUGUGUGGGUGUGUGAGAGGAUGAGCAUGUGAGGGUGUGUGAGGGUGUGUGUGAGGAAGAGGGUGUGUGAGGGUGAGUGUGGGUGUGUGGGUGUGUGUGAGGAUGAGCAUGUGAGGGUGUGUGUGAGGAAGAGGGUGUGUGAGGGUGGGGGGUGAGUGUGGGGGUGUAAGCGAGUGUGAGUGCAGGGGUGUGGAGUGUGAAGGUGAGUGUGAGGAUGAGUGGGGUGUGAGCAUGUGUGAGGGUGAGCAUGUGAGGGUGUGUGUGGAGAUAUGAGCAUGUUUUAGUGUGAGAGUGAGCUUGUGAGGCUGUGUGUGAGCGUGUUAGGGUGAGUGUGUGAACGGGUGUGAGGGAGUGUGGGGGGGUGUAUGUGUGAGGGUGAGCGUGUGAGGGUGUGUGUUAGGGUGAGUGUGAGGGUGAGUGUGGGGAUGUGAGCACGUUUUAGGGUGAGUGUGUGAGGGUGUGUGUGAGGGUGAGUGUGCGUGAGGGUGAGUGUGGGGGUGCGAGCAGGUAUGAGGGGGAGUGUGAGUGUGGGGGUGUGAGGGUGUGUGUGAGGGUGAAGGUGGGGGUGGGAGCAGGUGUAAGGGUGUGAGUGUGGGGGUGUAUGUGUGAGGGUGUGUGAGGGUGAGGGUGAGUGUGGGGGUGUAAGCAUGUGUGAGGGCAAGUGUGACGGCAGGGGUGUGGAGUGUGAAGGUGAGUGUGAAGGUGAGUGUGGGGGUGUGAGCAUGUGUGUGAGGGUGAGCGUAUGAGGGUGAGUGUGAGGGUGAGUGUGGGGGUGUGGGCAUGUGUGAGUGUGAGGGCGAGCGUGUGAGGGUGAGUGUGAGGGUGAGUGUGGGGUGUGAGCAUGUUUUAGUAUGAGGGUGAGCGUGUGAGGGUGAGUGUGUGUGAGGGUGAGCGUGUGAGGGUGAGUGUGUGGGUGUGAGCAUGUGUGAGGGCGAGUGUGAGGGUGGGGGUGUGGUGGUGGUGGUUCUGUUGCUGCCAGCGGGCUCUCUCCCUCAAGUCCCCUCUUCCAAGCCCUUCCUUCCCAAGUCCUUUCAGCUGUAAGCUGAUGGCCCCAUUGGAGCAGGGUGGAGCCCCCCCGCCCCGACACGCUGUCCCUUGCUCACCUCCUCCCAGCCACCUCCUGCCCCUCUGUGCUGGAACCAGGCAGGGGCAGGUGGUGCGGCGUGAGUAUGUGAGGGCAACUCUGGCUGGCGUUGGAAGGUGCGCCCCACAGGUUGAGAAGCCACGCCUCCUCCACGUGCCGUGCCAGUGGCCUCUCAGGCUUCAGGAGUCAGAAGGCUCUUCUCCUGGAAUUAUGCCAGGGUCCCC